CUGCUGUGUCGAGGCGAUCGAGGCUCCUGAUGUUAAAGCCUCCGGCAGGCGAUGAUUCUACAACUCACCUGCAUACUGGCAAAUUCAUCUAUCGACUGGAUUGUCUUUGGGACGUGGAAGGAAAUGGUAGCACCCGGAGGAAAACAUCCAAUUAAUGGACAGACUGCACCGAACAUCACAAUCAUGUCUCUGGCGAUGUGAGGCUGUGGCUCCAUUAGCUGCACCACUUUGCCUUCCAAAAUAAACAUUUAAUAAACAAAAUAAAUCACUUAAACAAA